GGGGGGGGGGGGGGGGGGGGGUGGGGGGGGGGGGGGGGAGGGGAGGGGGGUGGGUUGGUGGGGUGGGGGGGUGGGGAAGGGGUGAUUAGAACGUGAGUAGGUUGCCCUUGACUAUGGGAUCACUUCAGGAAACGGGGGUUCGUACUGGAUAGGGGCUGCUGCUGCAUGGUGGGGGUUGGACGGUUUGUGCGGUGGGUGAUGGCAUCGAGGCGUAUCAGCUUGUUGGUGGGGUCGUGGCUUACCAAGGCUUUGACGGGUAGCCGGCCUUAGAGGGUGACAGGCCACAUUGGGACUGAGAUACGGCCCAGACUCCUACGGGAGGCAGCAGGGGGGAAUAUUGCACAAUGGGCGGAAGCCUGAUGCAGCAACGCCGCGUGCGGGAUGACGGCCUUCUGGUUGUAAACCGCGUUCGCCUGUGACGAAGCGUGAGUGACGGUAAUGGGUAAAGAAGCACCGGCUAACUACGUG
rnacentral:rRNA from 1 species